UGCAAGUCGAACGCGAACGAGUUCUUCGGAACUUUAGUAGAGUGGCGCACGGGUGAGUAACGCGUAAGUAAUCUACCCUCGCAUCAGGGAUAACCCACCGAAAGGUGUGCUAAUACCGGAUACGUCUAUGUUAAUAUCUUUUUUAUAGAGAAAGGUGGCCUCUGAUUCAAGCUACUGUGCGGGGAGGAGCUUGCGUACCAUUAGCUAGUUGGUAGGGUAACGGCCUACCAAGGCGACGAUGGUUAGCGGGUCUGAGAGGAUGAUCCGCCACACUGGAACUGAAACACGGACCAGACUCCUACGGGAGGCAGCAGUGAGGAAUAUUGCGCAAUGGGGGCAACCCUGACGCAGCGACGCCGCGUGGAUGAUGAAGGCCUUCGGGUUGUAAAACCCUGUCAGAUGGGAAGAAGUGCUAUAUGGUUAAUACCUGUAUAGUUUGACGGUACCAUCAAAGGAAGCACCGGCUAACUCCGUGCCAGCAGCCGCGGUAAUACGGAGGGUGCAAGCGUUGUUCGGAAUUACUGGGCGUAAAGCGCGCGUAGGCGGCUAUGUAAGUCAGAUGUGAAAGCCCGCGGCUCAACCGUGGAAGUGCAUUUGAAACUGUAUAGCUUGAGUACUGGAGGGGGUAGUGGAAUUCCCGGUGUAGAGGUGAA
rnacentral:rRNA from 1 species